UUUCCCCCUAGUUUGCAAAUAACAAAGCGUUUCAAAUCUAACUUCUUUAAAUAAUAGUGCUAGUAAUAGUUCGGAGCAGCAAGUGUUUCUUUCGCUCCUAUGUUAAUACCAGCCGUGAUCAACACACCUUUCGAAAGAAGUGACAAGCAAACAUCCCAGGCUGGCGAAUAGUGUUAAAGUCAACCGAAAUAUGUGCGCGAUAGUGACGUUGAUUAUACCAACUUUAUCAGAAUAAAUUGAUUUCCGAACAGACAGCGAUGUGACAGUUUCGGACUGAAUGACGGAGCAGGCAAUUCAACCAACAAAGAGUAUUCCGCGGGACCCUACACCAAGGCAGACGAUACCAGUUCCAUGGGAAAAAUAAUAAAUGAAUGUUGACGGAAGGAUGUCGUCAAAAAAUGUGGAUUGCAAUUACAAAAAGAAACGGGACCACAUGAUGAGAUGUUGGCGAGCCACAGUAAGACUCCGGGAUCAGUGCGACUCUUCUAGUGUUGUGGGCAACGCUAUUGCGAUCGGUCCGUGUUGCAGUGGAGUGAAAAUCGGCUGCAGUAUCUGACCAAAAUGUUUAAUGAAUUUUUAUUCCAGAACAAAAUAAUGAUUCGUCCCUAUCUAGCCGAUAAAUUAAAUUAAUAAAGAAUCGUACCCCAAAGACAUAAUAUGAUGGAUUCAAGAUAAGAACAAUAUUAAUUGUCUGUAUCCACAAUUAUUCAAGAUUAAUCUACCCUUAUGAAGUAAUAAAUUUAAGUUGGAAAUAAAUAAUAAAGAUCAUUAUGAAA